UAGGGAAUAUUGGACAAUGGGCGAAAGCCUGAUCCAGCCAUGCCGCGUGUGUGAAGAAGGUCUUCGGAUUGUAAAGCACUUUAAGUUGGGAGGAGGGGCAGUAAGUUAAUACCUUGCUGUUUUGACGUUACCGACAGAAUAAGCACCGGCUAACUCUGUGCCAGCAGCCGCGGUAAUACAGAGGGUGCAAGCGUUAAUCGGAAUUACUGGGCGUAAAGCGCGCGUAGGUGGUUUGUUAAGUUGGAUGUGAAAUCCCCGGGCUCAACCUGGGAACUGCAUUCAAAACUGACUGACUAGAGUAUGGUAGAGGGUGGUGGAAUUUCCUGUGUAGCGGUGAAAUGCGUAGAUAUAGGAAGGAACACCAGUGGCGAAGGCGACCACCUGGACUGAUACUGACACUGAGGUGCGAAAGCGUGGGGAGCAAACAGGAUUAGAUACCCAUGUAGUCCCUGAGCGGGCUGGCAAGGCGCAU
rnacentral:rRNA from 1 species